UAGACACAUAUUACUCCUGGUGUCAUCUUUAAUGUAAAAGGGAAAAUUUAACUGCCAGGGACAAAAAAAUAAGAGCUUUUCAAUUAUGGUCACCUAAACCAAAAAGAAAUUUCACUUGAGUAAGCCUUACUGCAGCAGAGCUAAGCGAAACUACAAGUUAAUGCGCAUGUUUUAAUGCACCAGCUUCCCCAUUAAAGGGUGCUAGUAACCCAAGAGCACAACAGGGGUCCCACCUCCCUCCCCAGUGCUGACUGCCCUUCCUGGGGGCCAUACAGGGCUGUGUGUUUGCCUUUCUUUGCAGCAUUACAGAAGUCAACCUCCCUGAUGCAGCCAUGAGCAGAGACAUCAGCCAUCGAGCAGGGGCAAUGGGGAGCCGUGUUCACACCAGCCUGUUGGCACAGCAAGACACAGCAGAAAUGGACCUGGAUCUUACGCCAAGGGGGAAAAGACGCCAGCAACUUCCCAGGCCUGUGCAAGAGUCCCACUGGGUGCCACAGUGGAUUUAUGCCAUUCAGCCACUGUGUACAGCAUUAGAGGCAUUACCAGCCCAUCUGGCGUUCAGUUUGUUACCAUUUUGCUUCACAAACACCUUGAAUAUUGGGGAGCACUGCUGCACUGUCCAUCCUGGGUGCUGACACAGUUCUCACAGCUGUGAUGGGCCAGGAGGGGCUUGGGAGAGCAGGGCCCGAAGUGCAGAAGCCUGCCUCGCACCCAAACUGGCCCCAGCCUCAGAUCUGCAAACUCCCUCUCCAGUUUAUGUGAAGGACAAGCGGGAGAAGGAAAGUGACCCCAGCUGCUCAUAGUGCCCAUUUCUCUGGCAGGCUCCAAAUGCAGGAUCAGCUCUUCAGAGACAAGGCCAAACCAUGGACACCUGCAUAUGCUUUGAUUCUCUCCUUUCCAGGCAAAAAGGCCACCAACAAAGAAAAGCCAUGGGCUGCUUCUGGGUUUACUUCAGUUUCAAGGCCACCAAGCUUCAGAUGUUUGUCCUGCAUUGUGAGCUGGCCUCUCCCAAGAAGCAGCCUCCAGAAAAGGUGACCUAUCACUCAUCUUUGGACACAGACUAAUAAGAUGGCAUCUCAGUUCCCCAAAUUUUGGAUGUGUAUGAAGUCAUCUUGGGAUGUCAUGUCACAAAGCCUAACCACCAACACAGCUUCUCUCACCCGUUCACCAUCUGUCUGGCUGCACUACCUGAAUACGGCCAGUGCAAAGAGAGACAGUACUGGAUCUGGGCAGAUCCACUGUCAUCAACAUGGGCACAUACAGGACAGCCAUCACAGACCUACUCUCUGUAUUAGGGGCCAAGUCCUGCCAGGGCACACACUCCCUCCACUGACAGCUCACAAGGGUCUAACUCAAAGCCCAAACACAAACAUUGGGAAGAUCAAAAACUUCUCAGUAACAAUAGUCCUUCACAUUCCCAGAACUUCUUCUGAAAGGACUUAACAGCAAAGCCUGCUCCUCACCAGGGCUUCCUUUCUUUCUUUCUGACAUUAAAAUAUGAUGCCUAUUUGUAUUACUGCUAACUGUGUCAACAACAUACAGACAGUGGUUCAGCACUGGAACAAGCUUUCCAGAGAGGCUGAGGAAGCUCCAUCCUUGGACAUUUUCAAAACCCAGCUGGACAAAGCCCCGAGCAACCCAACCUAUUUGUGAAAUAAACCCUGCUGAAAGCCAUCUCAAACUCAAAUGGCACACUCCAGAGGUCCCACCCUACUAUAUUCUUCUAUUUUUUUUAUUUUUAUAAUGAAUGUUGUAAAAUUACAAGCCCACAAUUACAAUCUCCAUAGAAAAAAGGAUGCCGAGACCUCAUGUUUGACCAUGGGAAACCAUUCUGAGAACUCCCUCCUUCUUGAAAUGUCAUCAAGUGAGCUCUACAGGAAGGUAAGGCAAUGCACUUUGAGCAACAGUAAUUAAGACCAAACUGCCUGAGUUUUCACUCGACUUCCCAGGUGGUUUUUGCAGCCUGCAGUGAGCCUUAUGUUGCCAUGGCUACUCUUACAAGCAUUUCACCCCUCCUUUAAAAUUAAUCACAUCACAGCUGCAGUACAGACAUGCCCUAUCAGGUAACUCAGCCACAGAUUCAUUUUCUCCUCUACCAGCUCUGCAAAUCCAAGAUUUGGUUUAAAGCAAGUUCAUAAUUUUUAAGACAGAUGCAAGUUUAAGUAUUACUUAGAGCAUUUGUUUCGCUACUCUUAAUCUCUUUGCUAGCAUUAAAAUGACGGAUCUCUCUCACUGUAUCUUCCAAAUUUCAGAGUGUUAAGUCACAUCUCUUUCACAUCACAGUCUGACAUCAUUUGUUUGCAAGGGGCAACCAAAUCAGCCACUGGGGACCAAGUGCCUGGAGAACUGCACUGUUGCACAUCCCCAGUGAAACAGGAACAGUGCCUGCCUCUCCAGACUAGAGGUCUGUGGCAGAGCAACCACUGCAAGGGGCAUGAUCCGCAAAGUCCCUCAGGUCAACAUGUUUUGUGUUCAAGAGUAAAAAAUAGUCUCUGCAGUGUUAACAGCUGCUUUUCCAGUCUUUCCUCCAGCCUUUAAUAUCUCACAUUUUUCCUAAGCUCCAACUCUGACCAAUACAUAGAAAUCUUCAUUUAGUUCAUGCAUAAUGAUUGCUCCAGUUGCAGAGAAGAGCUUGAUUAGUAGAAGGAAGCCUGGUUCCCUAAAAACUUGUAUUUUAGUGCUGACAGACACUUUUACAAGCUCACGUCCACGUAGAGAAGAACACCCAACUUUAUGUCAUAACAUUUCCCUAAAGUGAGGCUCUUAGCAGCCCCUUUCUCCUCUCCCUGGCUACCUCCAUGAAACUUGUAGGGUUCUGGUUAUUUUGGAAACACCCUCGCUGCCACCAGCCAGUGAAGCAUGGCUGGAAACCCCUCAACGGGUUCAAAACAUAUCGCUGAGGAGAGGGACACAGAUGUAUUUGAACAGCCAACACUAAUUUUUAUUUCCAUAGCAAAGCAUUAUGAAAAUCUGCCAAGCUCAGCCUCUUCAGGUCAUCAAAUUUAAAUACACAGCAAUGCCAUGUUAGCCCGGAUAAACUCAUUGUUUAUACACAUGGGCAUGGUCACAAAAUUCUUUGGGUAAUGAGUUUUUAGAUAUUCAAGAUUUCCAUGUUUGCAGAUCCAUGAGCAGCACAGAAAAAAACCACCCUGAAAUCCACAUUGAGAACACUGCUCAAAGCUUCAACUUCUCUGCAAACUUCUAACUUACUUGAAUACUCUACACUCUUAAAAUUGCAUGGUUUGUUGCUACAGGUGUGUUAGGAAGACAUUGGCUGUUUUAAUCUCUGGGCGCUUAAUCUCAUAGUCAACUAUGCAGUCAAUGUAGGACACCUAUCUUCUCAGUACUUCAGUUUAAGCUGCCUAAAUAAAGCAGCAGAGCUUUUACACCAACAUGGCAAUAUUUCAAGCACAGCAGCCCAUAGACUAUGGGCACAUUAUCCACAGAUAACAGAUGUUAUCCAGAAAUAUAUCAUGUGGUGCUUUGAGUGUCAAGUGGUUAUCUGUACAGACGCACCCAGAAAACUGAACCGCUCCUCUAACAGGCUCGGGCCUGUUCUUCCUCUGCCCAUUCUUCCUCAGCCUCCCUUAAUGGUGGUGCAGAGAGCUGCACUCCACAGGCCUGACAGAGAACGUGCCAGCCAACGCAUAAUGCUCCUCUCCCCUGCCAUUUUGAGAAAGCAUCAGUGAAGUGGACUAGCAUUUUAAUAGGUGAAUAAUAUGCGAAGUAUAAAUGAGACAUUUUUAAAAUCUCUCCCAAGAGUCUCCCACCCUUGAGUGUCCUCUCUCCCCUUCAGCCAGCAGAGAUGGCAGGGCCCACCAGCGAGCAGUGCUCUUCGUCUGCUCUGCCUCACCUUUCAGGGCUGGAGAACUGAUGCAGGAACACUCAUGGCCAACCUGGAUACUCAUCUUUCCCUAUUUAUCUCCUUCGAAAGUCAAUCUUUCUUUAAAAUAAUAUUCUAAUAGGCAGUCACCAGGCAGUCUUUUGUAGUGCUACUCUGAAGAAAAACAUAAACCAAACACUAACUUGACAGGAGCAGGGCUUAAAGCUCAUGUUUGACCGGUUUAGCAUUUACACUGCAGUACUUCCCAGAGCUCUUACCCAUCCCCACGGCCAGCGGCACUGGGCUCCCCACCAACACAGAAACGACCUGCCCCUGCUGUGCUCAAAUCUCCCCUCUGGUGCGUACAAAUUCGGAAUCUCCAGGUUAUUCUGCCUAAAAUAACAGACAAAGCUUUGACUCCAAAAAUACAAUGAUGGGAAAUGCUAGUAAAAUCCAAGUGAAGAUAGACAUUAUUAGAGAUCAUGUGCUAAACUUGCUUCAAACACCUGAAACCCAGAAGGCAAAGAGCAAUUACAGUCAAUAAGCAAAUAAAAUAAACCGGCAGUGAAAUUACACAGCUCAUUAGAACUGCUUUAAUAUACAUAAAAGUCUAGCAUAGGCGUCCCCUCUCUCAAUCUGUGUAAAGAAAAAAUGUUAAACUAUUGCAGUACAAAAUACAACAGUAGCAAAACCUGUAUGAUCUGAAUUAUUUUGCUCUUAACUCAAAGCGCAUUAACAAAAUCAAAACAUUCAUGACAAGUUGAGGUGUGCCAACACAUCACUCAAUCUACAAGGCAGGGUUAGGAAUGUGUUAAGACCACCGACUUAAAUUACCUUAAAUUCUAAUAAAAAUGACAACAAUUAAUCAGACUAAGUACACAUUAGUAUUUUGGGUUCCUUUGGUGGCCAGAGGCUGAAACUUAAAAGGGCAAAUCUGGCAACAGGGGAAAAAGAAAGGAAAAGGCAUUUGUUUCACACAUUUUGUAGCUUGGAAUAGGUCAAUUAAAAACCACAAAAAAUUAGAGCAGUGGAUUCUUAUGCAUUUAUCCUACAUAUUAAGUGAUGACAAGCAUGCACAGAAUGAUAAAUCUGUUAUGUGCUAAGUUUGCUGAUUGGUGAAAAAGGACAGUUCUUUUAGGGUCUCAUGUUGUGGGGAGACUUUCACCAAACUCACUGAGGCAGUAAAGACUGACCAAAGAAUAAAAUGUGUCUUAUGCUCUUAUAAUUUUGGUGGACUUCAGUUUUGCACUACAGGUUAAACACUCGAUUGCUGCAGUAUCUCUUGUAAAGCAUUCAUACCUGAUAUCAGAACGAGCCUAUGCGUGGCGACAUAGAUUGGUAGAUGCAUAUGAGCCCCCAUGACUAUUUCUUAUAAAGCUGCCUGUAAUUUCAGGAGACUGCUACUGUGAUGGUCCCUCACACAUCUUUGCUGCCUGAGCACCAGCCUUCACCUAUCUGAGCAACGCUUUUAAAAAAAAAAAAAAACAAAAACCUACAACUUUUUCUUUCAUUUUUGGGUAUGGAAGGGGCAUGCUGGAUUUCCUAGGUUGUUUCUGAGGUUGGUGGUGUUCUUGCAUCAGACACGCUGCAAGGGAGCCAGCCCCAGGCCUGCAGGGUGCCACAUAAAUCCCAGAGGAACAAAGACUCAUCACUUCCUCAGAUGAAUUCCUUAGAGAGUACAAACUAAAUUUAGCCCAGAAGGUGACCAAAAUACAUCCUGUCCAGCAAGCUAAUAAGGGUGCUCCAAUCCAGGAGAAGCAAAAGAUCAUGGAUGGAAUUACAGAAAAAACCUGGUUAAUCUCUCAAUACGCAAAGUUGAUUCCCUGCUGAACAGGUGAUCUCUGAUCUUAAUCACCUCAGCUCUGUCUGAGAAUAUUCUAAGGGAAUUGCAACAGCCUAACCAACAUAUUUAAGAAAAAAUCAAUAAAAAUUUAAAAAUUAGUCUUUCUGGUUACUUCCUGCAGAGCAGAUUUAUAUUAAAAAAAAAUAAACAACAAACAACCAAACCUAAAAUAUUUACCAAAGUCAGCUUUCUUCAAGCAUCAACAAAUUAAAGAGUUAAAAAAACCUGAAACAACAAAGCCAAAAAACCACAGUAAGGUACUUGCAUUAGGUCUCAUCCAUAUCUAAUCAGAGAGGUUUGAAUGAGCUUUCUUUUCACAAAUAGAUGAUGUCAUUCAUUUUCUCCUGAACCUUGAGGUUGUUGGAGAAGAGGAUCUGACCUAAUACCAGUUAAUUCCUGCUGUGUGUAGAAUUGUAAUCUCUCCUGCAAACUAGAUCUGACCUGGAUUCAAGUCAAGAAUUUUAAGAGUGAAGAAAAUAGGGGAUUAAAAAUAAGACUUACAAAAAAGAUGUACAUGC